ensembl:lncRNA
GCGACUUGCCCGGCACCACACAGCCCCACAGCAGGGCCCGGCGGGGGUUUCGGCCAGCCCCUCAGGACCCUCAGUUUAGGGACCAGAAAAGGCUUUGGAGUUCCUAACUGGUUUGGGACCAGAGACGGGGAGCACUUAACCAGAGCUCCACUCAGAAGACACCUGGAAUGGGGCUCAUCCCAGACUCAGCCAGGAGGGACAGACCUUAACCUUGGCUGGGACCCAGAAGGCAGAGGAUAGAAAAGAAAAAGGAAGUAAAGAGGAAAUAGAGAAAGCAAACUCUAUGUGGACUGAAAUACAACCUGCUGGGAAGACUGGAAAACGGUUUAGAGUCCUCUGGAUGCCAGAUGUGUUCGUGACCCAGCUACAAGGAAACUGGAUUCUUUCUGGUCACGUUGGAUAUCUGCAUGCGCUUCUAAGUGUUGUAUUGCAUAAAGGAUCCAGCUCCCUGACCAGGGAUUGAACUUGGGGCCCCUGCGUUGGAAGCAUCGAGUCCCAGCCUCUGGACAACCAGGGAAGUCCCUACAGCUCCAUUUUCAAUCAAGAACACUGAGGCUCAGUGGAGAGGUCCUGGUAAGGAACAAGGAACUAAUAAGCCACCACCAACCAGAAGAGUUCAGGAAAUGUCAAAAGGAGACACCACAUGUCCGACCACCUCCCAGAAUCCUCACUGGCAUCCAUCUUGGCUGAACAAGGUGUGCACCACCAGGAGGGAGUCUUAGUCAGAAUGACUGGAUAAAGACAACCCAGAAACUAAUCCCAUCACCA